rnacentral:lncRNA from 1 species
GAAACCAUUUAACGCAGUUGAUUUAAUCCAAACAGCUCACUGUCUUGUAAAUAGCAAUCAAUCUUAGUAAUGAUGAUUAAGAUAUGACUACAUAGUAACCUCUCAAAUCAAUGGGAAGUCCAGAAGAAGCCUUGCUUUCGCUGGAUUCAGACAUGGCCUUUGUCGAAAAGGAAAAACUCUUUUUAGAAGCUGGAAGAGCACUGUCGUUUCUCAAACACCCGAGGUUCGAUAGAUGUCGAGUGGAAGUGAGCUUAUCCCAUGAUGCGUUCCCGUGAUUGACACCGACAAUCCCUGCUUUAACAACUUUGCUAGAGGCAGCAGAAAUGCUUGGCCUUGUUGUAGCCAUUUGCAAGCUCGAAGCUGCUGAUGUUGCCGCCAUCCUCGCAAUAUUUCAAAUAUUUUCUGUGCAAAAAAAAUGUCAGAACAUGUAAAGAAGACCAAUGAGCUUUCUUUCUAACAAUCCAAGUUAUAAUAAUCUGCACAAAAUGCAGAUCGACACAGACAUUGGAGAAAUAGAAUUGAAAAUGUCCUGCAUUUAUAAAAAUGAUUUGAUUUAUAAUACGCAAUCCAAGUUCACAUUGACAUAACAAAGAAAACAAAUGGCACAAGUUCUGGAUUUUUCGCAGCUUAACGUCAGAGAAAACUCAAUUGACUGAGAUAAUUAAAAACCCAAAACGAAUCUGCAUUUUUCCAUCAAACAAACAGAGAACCAAAGAGAGAGAGGGGGAGAGAUAGAUACCUGAUAGAGCCUAGAGAGAGAAGAGAGAAGAGAGAAGAGAGAAGAGAGAAGAGUAGGUUUGCUUUGGUGUGAAGUGGGGUAUGUAAGGGGAGCGGGUUCGAUGAGAUCGAGGUGUUUGUUGUGUCUGGCGAAGUUAAGAGGUUGAUUGUAUGUGGUUUUUGUUUUAGUUUUUGGUUUUUGUAAACAAAAACCAUUUUUCAUCCAAUUAAUUUUUAGUUUUUAGUUUUGUUUUUGUAGAAAUCAUUUGAUUUGCCAAUCAAGAUUUUUAAUAAAUAGAUUUCUUAAAAUUUAGAGAAAUUAGUUUUUGAAAAGUUUAACCAAUUUGUGAAGAAAAACCAAAAACCAACUUUUGUGAGCUUUUAAAAGGAAAAACGAAUUUUGAUUUUUUUUUGAUAGAAACUACAAUAUUUAAUUAAUUAAUAAUUAAUAAAUAACAUUUUUAUAAAGAUAAAUAAUCAUACAAUUUUUAGUACAUUAGCUAUAAUUUAAAAAAUAAUGUGAUAUAACUUAUUUGUGUUUAAUAUCUGUAAAAUAAAUUUAUAUAGUUUAUAAAUAAUAUUAAUUAAUUUUAAAACUUAGUUAUUAAUUUCUCUAUAUAAAAUAAUAGAAUAAUUUUAAUAAUUACUAGUCACAUUAAAAAUAACUAAAAUUAUAAAAACAUAAUAUGUUUUAGUAAUACAAUAUAUUGUAUUAGUCAUGAAAAAUAAAAAUAGCCAUUCAAUUUUAAGAAAAUAUAAAUAAUUUAUAUGAGAAAAUUUUAUAAUUAGUUUCAAAAUUUUAAGUAUUUUUAUUUUUAUAUAAUUUAUAAUAUUUAAAAAAAAUAUUGCUAUAUAAGUUUAUAAAAUUAAAAAUAAUUUAUAUAAAAAAAAUUUCUAAGUAGUUUCAAACUUUUAAAUAUUUUUAUUUUUUUGCAAUUUAUAUAAAUUUUAUGAUAAAUAUUUUAUUGUAAUAUAAUUUUUAAUAAAACUAUAAUAAUUAAAAUAUGUUAUUAUAUUUUAAUUUAAAAUAAUUAUCAUAAUAUUUUGACAAUUUUAAUUGUAAAUAUAAAUAUUUAUUUCUAUUUUGUUGUAUUAUUUCAAAGUAACUCAUUACUUAAUUUUUGCAAAAAUAAAAAAAAUACUGCAAAACCAAAAACCAAAAUCUAAAUCUAAAAACUAAAAACUAAAAACCAAAAACUGAAAACCAAAAACUAAAAUCUAAAAACCAAAAACUAAAACUAAAAACUAUUGCAACAAUCAUCACCUAAGUGAGAAGUUUUUUGUCCCAACUAGACAAACCGGAUCGGUUUCGUCACAAACCGGAUAUUCAAGGUUUAUCCGUAACCUCUUUCGGAUCUUUUAUUUUUCGGGACUAUUACACAAUUUUUUUUAUUUAGGCCUUAUUGUUUGACUAAUUUUCUGUUUUUGGUUUUUUCAGAUAUUGGUUUUAAAAUUUCAAACUAUUAUUUUAUGUUUUGUUUUUGUUUUUGUUUAAUUUUUAUUUUAAAUUUUGAGUUUUUUAUUUUUUGGUUUUUAUACUAAAGUAUAAAAAAUUUUAGAUUUGAUUUUGUUGUAAAAUCAUACCAAGUUUGAGGUGAUUCGUAUUAAAAUGAGAAAUUCAUGUUAUUCAAACGUAAAUUUUAAAAUUGAUUUCAGUGUUAUUGAAUUUAUCAUUUCAUAAAAUAUUUUGGAAUCUAUUAUUAUUAAACAAAAUUUGAGUUGUAGAUUUAAUAACACUUUAAGUGUCUUUAGAGUAUUUGAGAGGUGAUUUUCUCCCAUGGAUAAUAUAUCAACAUUUGAUCCGGUUAGGCAAGUUUUAGAACAGAAUGAAAAUAACUUGAACAAAGCCGUCUAUGAAACCAUAAAACAUGUGAAGUGGUUGAAUUAAAAAGUAGAAACGUGCAAACUUCAAUCAUCAGAGAAAUAAUGCAGCAGUUAUUACACAUUCGCUAAAGUGACAAACUAGAAACAUAACAUAUUCUCUUGAAACUUAAAAGAAAAACAAAGCCGAUGGGGAGAUCAUAUGCUCUAUUCGUCGAUCAAGAAGACCCUACUUGUUGAGGUCUUUGAAAACGGGGCUGUCCAGAGCAACACCCAUUGAAUUCAAACCAUUGUCCACAUAGAUGGUUGCACCAGUUAUGGCAGAGGCCAAUGGAGAUACCAAGAAGGCCGCUGCAUUCCCAACUUCAUCUGCAUCAUCAAUCAUAUUCCUCAUUUUUUAAUAAAAUUUCCAAUAAAAAAAAUUGAAAGCCAACAAGAGAAUGCUUGUAUAGAAGGAAAAUGAAUGAACCUGCGGUCAGUGAUUUCUGAAUAGGCGCGUUAUUGUAUGAAUACUCAAUCAUUGUGUCUAUGAACCCAAUUGCUUUUGCUGCUCGGCUUCCCAAAGGACCUGCAGAGAUAGUGUUGACUCUAAUGUUUUGUUUCCUUCCAGCUUCAAAUGCAAGCACACGUGUAUCACUCUCUAGUGCGGCCUUGGCAGAACUCAUACCUCCACCAUACCUAACAACAGAAAUUAAAAGAGACACUUGUAAUCAUCUAUUGAGAAACCAAACAAUGUGGUGAAGCUAUAGUAUGACCCUUACCCGGGAAUGAUCCUUUCAGAGGCAAUGUAAGUAAGAGAGAUAGAAGCACCUCCUAAAUAAUCAAUAGAGAAACAAAUAAAAUUUUUAAAAAAAAAUUAUAAAGAAGAAGAGGAAUACAAAGUUUUGUGACAUACCUGGGUUCAUAAUUGGGAGAAAAUGGCUAAGGAGGGAAACAAAGGAGUAGCUGGAAGCAGAAAUAGCAGCAAGAUAGCCUUUCCUCGUUGUCUCCAGAAGAGGUUUGCUAACCUAAAAAUAUCAGAAGAUCUCCCAUCAGGCAAAACAGAAUAAAGUUCUUGUAAAACAGUUUCAGAUAGAGUUCUUGCCUCUGGUCCAUUUGCAAGUGAGUGGACAAGAAUGUCAAUGCUUCCAAAAUCUUGUCUCACACAUUCUGCAGCUUCCUGUACAGUCCAGUUUGAUGAUCCAGCAUAUCGCUUAUUCGCUUUCACCUGGAAAAAUAAAAUGUUAUCAUAACUAAUUUGGAUAUUAAGGGUUUUAAUAUGAUGUGAAAGAUGUAAAUCUCCCUUACAUCUUCAGGGACAUCAUCAGGAGUGUCAAAGACAGCAUCCAAAGGAUAAACCUUUUUAAUCUCCAUCAAUGAUCCGUCUGGCAACCUGAAUUUGAGAUAUUAGAUGAUGUGGAAAAACAAAAGAAACAAAGAGUUGAUCAGUUUUGUUGUAAGUCCUUACACGCGUGACUGGUCGAAUUUUCCACGUCUCAAGCUCGUCUCAAAAAUGUUAAGUGCCUAGUAGAGCACCAUUCAAAGGUCAGUGUACAUGAGGAAACUAAAAGCAGCUCAAUAGAGUUUUAAAAAAAAAAAAAACUUACAGGAACCCAAGUGCCAACCAAUAUUUCAGCACCAGCAGCAGCAAGAGAUUUGGCUAUGGCCCAACCAUAUCCAUUAUCAUCAGCGAUACCAGCAAUGAAAGCCCUUUUCCCUAGAAACCAUUUAACGCAGUUGAUUUAAUUCAAACAGCUCACUGUCUUCUAAAUACCAACCAAUCUUAGUAAUGAUGAUUAAGAUAUGACUACAUAGUAACCUCUCAAAUCAAUGGGAAGUCCAGAAGAAGCCUUGCUUUCGCUGGAUUCAGACAUUGCCUUUGUCGAAAAGGAAAAACUCUUUUUAGAAGCUGGAAGAGCACUGUCGUUUCUCAAACACCCGAGGUUCGAUAGAUGGCGAGUGCAAGCAAUUUUGUCCCACGAUGCGUUCCUUGGAUUGGCACCGACAAUGCAGGUCCUUGCUUUGCUAGAGGCAGCAGAAAUGCUUGCCCUUGUUGUAGCCAUUUG